rnacentral:misc_RNA from 1 species
UCUAAAACUUUUGAAAUGACCUAUCAGGUCAUUACUUAAGACAGCGUUAGUUGCUUCACUAUCGGCGAGAACAAAAGUACUUCGUACUUAAGUACUUACAUAGUAGUAGUUAGUAUCUUUUACGUGAAAAUGUCCGAUUUGGUCAGUGUUUUGGAAUUUGAGGAGCAUGCUGUUAAAGUUCUUCCCAGAAAUGCUUUGGAUUAUUACAGAAGUGGAGCUGGGAAACAGGAGACACUAGCGGAUAACAGGAGAGCUUUUUUCAGAUAUAAACUAAGACCAAGAUGUUUAAGAAACGUAGAAAACAUAGACUUGUCAACUAUUGUCCUUGGAGAAAAGAUUUCCAUGCCCCUUGGAAUUGCUCCAACUGCUAUGCAAAGGAUGGCACAUCCACUCGGAGAAUGUGCCAAUGCCAGAGCUGCUCAAGCUUUGGGGAUCAUCUACACUCUUAGCACUCUUUCAACAAGCAGCAUUGAAGAAGUGGCUGAAGCUGCACCUCAUGCUGUGAAAUGGUAUCAAUUGUACAUCUAUAGAGACAGAAAUGUUACAAAAAACUUGGUCCUACGUGCUGAAAAAGCUGGAUAUAAGGCAUUAGUAUUAACUGUCGACGCUCCUGUUUUUGGUCUACGUUUAGCAGAUUUGAAGAACAAAUUUACUCUACCUCCACAUUUAAGAUUAGCAAAUUUCCAAGGACAUACAUCUGAAAUGAGCCAGGAUCUAGAAAAAGGAUCAGGUCUUAACGCCUACGUAACAGAUCUCUUCGACGCAACUAUCAGCUGGGAAGAUAUUAAGUGGUUGAAGAGCAUUACUAAACUACCAAUUGUUCUUAAAGGAAUUUUGACAGCCGAAGAUGCUCUACUUGCUGUUCAAGCUGGAGUGGCUGCUGUCCAAGUAUCUAACCAUGGCGCUAGGCAAAUAGACGGAACACCUGCUUCGAUAGAAGCUCUUCCAGAGAUCGUAAAGGCAGUGGGAGACAGAAUAGAGAUAUACGUUGACGGAGGAAUAACAGACGGCAUUGAUAUUCUUAAAGCAGUAGCUUUGGGAGCUAAAAUGGCUUUUAUAGGACGUCCAGCUUUGUGGGGUCUCGCUCAUAGUGGACAACAAGGAGUUGAAAAAGUUCUCAAUAUUCUUAAAAACGAACUUAAAACUUCCAUAGGAAUCGCAGGUAAGAAAGAUACAUCGUGUAAGAUCUUUUUAAUUUUAGGACCUCUAAAUAAUUAAAAUAGUGUACGAAUAAAGUCAUUAAAAACGAUAGUAAACCACAAUGCUCUAAAGAGCAUGUGGCUCACUUAAAGGUUAAGAUAAAGUAUUUCAAUAAAACGUAAAAAUACUUUUUGAAGAUUCUUCUUACUUUAAUUUAUCCAGAUAUGUAAUUCAUAUAAUUUCGGCCCAGUAUCGGGGAUGACGAGAGUUUCUGCAUGUAAGAAGAUGUUCCAUAUUUUCAAUUUCUCCACAGCCACUAUUCGUCUUGGUCUAUUUUCCUUCAUUAUGCCAUAUUUGAUAUUACUGUAACGACCCCAGUUCUUCCUAUUCCUAUCCCAUUCAUAGUUUUCCACGUUUUAAAGUCUAGAGUCUAGAGUCUAGAGUCUAGAGAUUGGUCGGUCCAUUAAACGUGGAGUAGAGGAAAAUAUUCGCGCGGUUCAUCCUGCUGCCCGUUGCCCGUUCCAAGAAAGCUUUUCCUGGAUAUCAGUCGCUUUCGUGGUGUUCAAGCUCUGCAUAUGGCAUGUCGCUCGUCCGCAAUUUGUUUAAUUUUCUCUAUGUGCUCUAUUCCAUUUCUACGUGUUGGUGGUCUGCAAAACCCGCUGCUUUAUAUAGAUUUUGAGAGUGGUGUCGGUUUCAUGCAUCCCGGGUAUGGUCUCAUUUGUUCUUUGGACUCGCUGGACAUCCCAAGAACAUAUUGUUGUCUACAUCUCCUGGGGAUUGUGGCAAAUAAAUAUGACUGGCGUUUUGACUUGAAUGUUUUUCAUCUAGUUUGGGUUAGUCCGGUGUUGCAAGAUGGAAGGAUUGGCCGUCUACUAGUAAACGUGUCCUGGGGAUGCUGUUAAUAGUGUUUGCUAUGCUGUGGUUGACGUGGCGCUAUUGGUCUCAAGGUCUCUUUCCAUAGAUACAUGUAGAUAAUAUUAUAAUAUCAAAUAGUAACAUAUUUAGAAAUCGAAAAUUUAUACAAUCGAAAUAAUUUUGCUACAAGUUAAUUUUUGUUUAAUUUUGUAGGUUAUUCAAAAAUAAAUGAGGUGCCCAGAGAUUUGGUUGUACACGAGAGUUAUUACGCAAAACUGUAAGA